rnacentral:ncRNA from 2 species
GCUUUCCUUCGGGGCUGGGUGAAAUUCCCAACCGGCGGUGAUCGGGGAAGCGCGGCACCGGACAUCCGGACCGCUUGCACUUUCUUCGUCAGUCCGUGACCCGGACCGCCAUUCCUUACCCGAUAUGCGGGACGGAGGCGGUACGGUGGACCUGGUGCGAAUCCGGGACCGACAGUAUAGUCUGGAUGGGAGAAGGGGAAC